UACGAAGGGGGGCUAGCGUUGCUCGGAAUCACUGGGCGUAAAGGGUGCGUAGGCGGGUCUUUUAAGUCAGGGGGUGAAAUCCUGGAGCUCAACUCCAGAACUGCCUUUGAUACUGAAGAUCUUGAGUUCGGGGAGAGGUGAGUGGAACUGCGAGUGUAGAGGUGAAAUUCGUAGAUAUUCGCAAGAACACCAGUGGCGAAAGCGGCUCACUGGACCAUAACUGACGCUGAGGCGCGAAAAGCUAGGGGGAGCAAAACAGG
rnacentral:rRNA from 1 species